rnacentral:sRNA from 1 species
AAAAAAAAAAAAAAGAUGAAGAAACCGAGGCACAGCAAGCAGGAAGAUUGCCACACAGCUGCUAAAUGGCUGAGCCAGGAUUCCAACCCAGCCAGUCUGGCUCCAUAGUCUGCACUUGUAUGCUCUGCUGCCUCAGGUCAUCUGCAAAAUGAAUGGCUGGUGUGUUUGUCUUUUACCUCCCCCCGGACGUUUCUCCACCCCACCAGUGUGUAAGCUGCUGAGCACAGAGCUACAGGCGGAGCUGAGUCGCACCGGUCGAUCUCGAGAGGUGCUGGAGCUGGGGCAGGUGCUGGACACAGGCAAGAGGAAGAGACACGUGCCUUACAGCGUUUCAGAGACAAGGCUGGAAGAGGCCUUAGAGAAUUUAUGUGAGCGGAUCCUGGACUAUAGUGUUCACGCUGAGCGCAAGGGCUCACUGAGAUAUGCCAAGGGUCAGAGUCAGACCAUGGCAACACUGAAAGGCCUAGUGCAGAAGGGGGUGAAGGUGGAUCUGGGGAUCCCUCUGGAGCUUUGGGAUGAGCCCAGCGUGGAGGUCACAUACCUCAAGAAGCAGUGUGAGACCAUGUUGGAGGAGUUUGAAGACAUUGUGGGAGACUGGUACUUCCACCAUCAGGAGCAGCCCCUACAAAAUUUUCUCUGUGAAGGUCAUGUGCUCCCAGCUGCUGAAACUGCAUGUCUACAGGAAACUUGGACUGGAAAGGAGAUCACAGAUGGGGAAGAGAAAACAGAAGGGGAGGAAGAGCAGGAGGAGGAGGAGGAAGAGGAAGGGGGAGACAAGAUGACCAAGACAGGGAGCCACCCCAAACUUGACCGAGAAGAUCUUUGACCCUUGCCUUUGAGCCCCCAGGAGGGGAAGGGAUCAUGGAGAGCCCUCUAAAGCCUGCACUCUCCCUGCUCCACAGCUUUCAGGGUGUGUUUAUGAGUGACUCCACCCAAGCUUGUAGCUGUUCUCUCCCAUCUAACCUCAGGCAAGAUCCUGGUGAAACAGCAGGACAUGGCUUCUGGGGUGGAGGG